rnacentral:rRNA from 1 species
UACGUAGGGUGCAAGCGUUGUCCGGAAUUAUUGGGCGUAAAGAGCUCGUAGGCGGUUUGUUGCGUCGGCUGUGAAAUCCCGAGGCUCAACCUCGGGUCUGCAGUCGAUACGAGCAAACUAGAGUGUUGCAGGGGAGACUGGAAUUCCUGGUGUAGCGGUGAAAUGCGCAGAUAUCGAGGAGGAACACCGGUGGCGAAGGCGGGUCUCGUGGG